UUAUCCAGAACCAGAGGCCUUGAUUUAGAGAAGAGGAGGCCAUCUAUGUUGAGACGCAAUGGAAAGAAGACAACUGGAAAUACAAGCAUCAGGUGUGCGGCGUAGCUUAUACGAACAGCAUCAUUGAGCACAGAACCGAAAGGAAUUCCAAGAUUGGUAUCGAAAUUGGCCAGCACAUCAUCAAGAGUUCCUUCGCCAAAUAGGAGGAACCCAAAGAAGCUUAUCAUUACGUACACUGAAGAGCAUAGAACAAGGGCGGUUUGUACUACCCCUCGCAUCUGUGAGGAGUCCUCAAGUUCAUUGUCUAUGCUGUGAACUGCAGAAGAAAAAGCGCACAAUUAUCAGUACUAUUAAACUCACAUAAUGCAACCAUCUGACUUUCCAAGAAAUAAAAACUAGCAUACAAAAACAUCAAAACAAGUAUAGCAAGAGAAAAGUAAGCUUGGCACAAAGGUUGAAUAACUUGCAUACCAUUGUAGUGGCAGAUAUAUGCAGUCACAAACACAGGAACUACAGUGAAUAGUCUAAAGAAUGAUGCCACAUCAGUAGUGACAGGGAAGAGUCUGGGCAUCGCAAUGCCUCCACUGAAUAUCUUGACAACUGCAAUUCCCACGGCAAUGACUAGAAAAACAACUGCAAGUGCGACUGAAAGGGCUGAUGUGAAUCUCAAUGAAUCUGCAACCACAGAGCAGGCAUAUAAAUCCUUCAUGCAUUCAUUGUAAAAGACGAAGCUAAAUAGAUCAACAUAAGACUUCACCCAUCACAUGAAUUGAACAUUCAAUUUACUGCUUAAGGAAUUUAAUAUGUUGCAACCAAAAUUAGAGAUCUAUCAGGGUCAAAACAAAAUAACCAUAUAUGUCCACCAAGUCAAGUCGUCAGGGUUUAAACUGAUAAUAUAGAAUAUAAGGCAGCAAACAACAUAAAUGUUUCCAAAAUUCUCUUCUUUUUUUUAAUUUGAAAACAUGACCAAACUGAGUAACAGAAAACUAAAGCUAUCAACAAGCAAUUAUUGGGAAAACUCUACCCUGUACCAUCUUAAGCUUUAAUGGUAUUUUAAAUUAGUUGUAACAGUUCCUACAAAUACUCUGAUGAGUAGUUGUGUGACAACAAUCAUUGUAGCAAUCCCUUUUCAUCAAUUAUGCAACCAAAGGUAGUCAAAACAAGAACUUAUGCACCAUGGUCUAAGCAUGUAUCCGAGUGAUCUCAAUCAUCUUCGCUACACUAAAUGACACAACUAACCAUUUUUUUGUUAUUUAAAUUAAAUGAAUACCACUCACCAAUUCGCUUAAAGCUUGCAAGGGGUGCAAAUAUGGCAAGUGUUGUAAAAAGGACAACAAAUGUUCGCCCCGUCCACCAGUGCACACCAAACCAUCCUUCAAGGAUACCAUAGUGAUGAUCUCCACUUGAAGAUGUUCCAGAGAGCACAUCACCUGCACGAUGAACAAUACAUAACUAAAUCAGACAACCAUACAGAUCUUGCUUCAAGGGGUUUAUGGUUAAAACCUAAACGUAUGAUAACAAUAAAGAUCCACCCAAAUUAAAUGAAGUACUAAACUCAAUAAAGGUCAUACCAAUUAUAAUCAUGUAAACAAUCAGCACACCGAUGUUAUUGAUUAUAACACAUAUCUGCACCAGAGCUUUUCCAUAAUUCCCAAAGGAAUCCCCCAUGAGACCAGCAUAAGAAACAGACUUCCCUGCCCGGGUAAACCGAAUCAAAAGCUCAAUUGACUUCUCUGUCAACAAAGCCAUGAUGAUGAUGGCAAGAAGACCAGGUAUCAUCCCCA
rnacentral:lncRNA from 1 species